UACGUAGGUGGCAAGCGUUGUCCGGAUUUACUGGGCGUAAAGGAUGCGUAGGCGGACAUUUAAGUCAGAUGUGAAAUACCCGAGCUUAACUUGGGUGCUGCAUUUGAAACUGGGUGUCUAGAGUGCAGGAGAGGUAAGUGGAAUUCCUAGUGUAGCGGUGAAAUGCGUAGAUAUCAGGAGGAACACCUGCGGUGUAGACGGCUUACUGGACCGGUUCUGACGCUGAGGCGCGAAAGCGUGGGGAGCAAACGGG
rnacentral:rRNA from 1 species